UUUUAAUUUUAAUUUUAAUUUUUUUCCUUCCCCCUCCCCUAAGAGAAAUUUGUGUUUGCAAUUGUCAUCCAUAUUGUCAUAGGCAUUUCCUUAGAUAUGUUAGCCUGAGACCAUUCAUUGUAGCAACUUGGUGGCGUCAAAUAAUCCAUCAAUAAGGCUAGGUUUUCCUUGGUUGAAUAUAAUGAAGGGGGGAAAUGUUAAAUGAGAAAGAAACCUAUCUUGCACAAACAUAGGCAUGUGCACAUGCACUGGCACACAGUUAGAUGAGUUUGCUAGAACGCAUGUGUUUUAAGCCAGGAUCUUUCCAUCACAAGUCAAUCAAUUUUGAUUGUUUUAUAUUUGUUAAAAUGUGAUGGGCGUUAUUGUUGACUCUGCUAUUUUCUUUAACCCAAAAUUUUGGCCAUGAGAAACCAUUUUGAUACCAGGAAUGCCAAAUAUGUUUGUUUCAUCUAUCCCCGCAAAACUGGAAGUAAUUGGGUUGCAUUGUUCUAUGUAACAGAUUUUGAAAGACCAUUCUACAGGAAAUUCAGGAGCGGGUGAUUACCUUUUAGCACAUUUUAUAACUGAAGAUUGUAAAUUUAUAAUAAUGUACAUACUUGUCAUGUAGAUUAGAUCCUUAGCUAAGUUAGCGUACUUGAACAAACUUUCUAGUCAGUGACCUACUGAUGCGCUUUUGAUUUGUUAACUAGCUGAGGCAACUUCGUUAACAUGGGGUAGCAAAAAGAGC
rnacentral:misc_RNA from 1 species